rnacentral:lncRNA from 1 species
UUAUUUCCGGCGUUGCCAGCGGAAUUAUCACAAGAAAAUGGAGAACGGGGUUCAAAUGGAGAGAAGGAAGUGCUGGGCAUUUUCUGGAGAACGGGGUUCAAAUGGAGAAAGGGAGACACGGGGUGUUUUCUGGAGAGCGGGGUUCACAAUGACGAUCGAGAGUUAUCGUCAGGUGGCUGGGGUUCAAAUGGAGAACGGGGUUCAUUGUUUGGCGAACAGGAGUGAUAUGAAGUCGUCGGGGUUCAAAUGCGGUGAUCAGGGAUCAUACGCGCGAAAAUAAUUGUUCGGGGUCCAAGAAAAAGCAAAAAAAAAAAUUAAUCAAAGAAGUGUCGGGGUCCAAAAAAAAAAGAAGAAAAAAAAUCAAAAAGUUAUGGGGUUCAAGAAAAGCAAAAAGUAUAAUAAUAAUCCCCAGCGGAGCGCAAAUUGUUCGUCUGUUCUUGGUAUUCAAUCACUCUUCACCCUGAUCAUCUGAAAGCCGAGGCUGUUCAUAUCGACAGGUUCACAAUGGAUUGAAUAGGGGCAGCUGUAACACCUCAAAAUUUGCCCCCUCUUCUUGGGACUAGUUUAG